UUAGAUAGGUGGCUAGCAGUGCGACCAGAUCCAAUCCGUUGUCCUCAUAUUUCUUAAUACAUAAGGGUUCGAUUUUUUUAAAAAAAUACAUGUAUUUUUAUAUUAAAAAUAAGAAAAGGGGUCUAAAUUUUUUUUAUAUGAAAAUAUUUUUAUUUUCAAUGAUUUAUUUUUAGAAGUAUUUUGAAAAAAAACAUAUACCUAUUAGAUUUUUUAAAGAAAAAUAAUAGUUUGGAAAUUAAAUUUUUUUUUUGCCCCAAGAGCCAUGAUACCGUUGAGUCCCUGCCCGGAUUGUGAAUCAUCGCCGCUUAGGGGGAGUCAAUGGUGUAAAACAUUUUCUGAUUGAUAAUGUUUGUUUUGUGUUGGGUUAGAUUCAACUUGUGAGAAUCCAAUUCAGAGUUCCAGAGUGAGUAUGGAUGGACGACGCAGAAGGUCUUCCACUUUCUCAAUUUCGUGGUGAAUGGAGGUUUGUGGACAUCUUGCUUGCAUUCAUGUUCUGCUUUCAGACUUUGAAGAGCUUAGGCUAGAUUCCCUUGGUGCUAAAGCUGAGUACAUCUGCGUACCAUUGUGAAUGGAGGCUUUUCCUAAUGUUGCAACGGUUUCCAGUAGAAUCUAAAGGAAGGCGCAAAAAGCUGCAAGAGGUGAAACGUCAAUAGAACAAAAGCAUAAGUAUAUCCAAUCAAUCAUAACUCGCCGUGGUCUGUGGUCAUAGUGAGUCUCUUUUGUGUGUUGAUAAUUUAGUUAAUCUUUCUUCCUAGUAAAAUCUAGAAUUUGAAGAUGAACGUAUGAGAGGAGCAAUAUGCUCAUCUAUUUUUUUAACGAUGAUGAAUUUUUGUGGUUCUGUAGUCACUUGUCAGUUGUGGUUGGUCUUUAUUUUAGGGGUCGUGCUACUUGAUCAAAUUUUAUGAUUUUUUUUUGUUGUCCAUCU